CAUAUUUAUGUUAAUUCUCUUCCUUCAAUCAUAAAUACUCAUAAAAAUAUAAAAGUCAAUACUUAAACUGCUAGAUUAUAUUUAAUAAUAAUGGAUAUAGAUCCUUCAGAGACCUAUUUAGAGAAGUUAAAAAAGACGGGAACCUGGCUUAACCCCUUCCGACUUGCAAGAUACGUUUUUGAGAAAGGUCAAUCCCUUGCCAAUUCUUUUGCAAGGAUUGCAACCUCUUGGCAAUAAGUUCAAUUAUAAUCCUACCAGGACAGUUCUUAGAGUUUGUUAAAUGGGAAAGCGGAUAUCCCAUAUUCAUUGAUCAAAUGCUACUGUCCCGUUGUUGUUACUAUUAUUUGCUUGUUAAUGUUUAACUAAGAGAUGCAAGGCAUCAGAGAAAUGUUAUUAGUUAUACCCGGCAGCCCAGUUGUUUCUGCCUUCAUUCUGUAUUUUCUUGAUCAACAAAAUUGAAGGUGAUAUCAAUGGACAGGGACUACGAAGGAUGCAUUAUUUCUUUCUUGUGACUGAGUCUAUUUAUUAUCUGACUGAAUUUGUCUCAGGUGGUCCAGCCGCAAUAACUUAAAUUAUAUUCAAAAUUUUAAAAAUAAAUGUAUUAGGAUUAAA